rnacentral:rRNA from 1 species
GGACAACCUACCCUCCGGACGGGUAUAAACCCGGGAAACUGGGUAUAAUCCCCGAUAGAUCUCGGUCGCUGGAAUGCCCCGAGAUCGAAAGCUCCGGCGCCAGAGGAUGGGUCUGCGGCCUAUCAGGUAGUAGUGGGUGUAGCGUACCUACUAGCCUACGACGGGUACGGGUUGUGAGAGCAAGAGCCCGGAGAUGGAUUCUGAGACACGAAUCCAGGCCCUACGGGGUGCAGCAGGCGCGAAAACUUUACAAUGCCGGCAACGGCGAUAAGGGGACCUCGAGUGCCAGGUUACAAAUCUGGCUGUCGUGAUGCCUAAAAAGCAUUGCAUAGCAAGGGCCGGGCAAGACCGGUGCCAGCCGCCGCGGUAACACCGGCAGCCCAAGUGGUGGCCAUUUUUAUUGGGCCUAAAGCGUUCGUAGCCGGCCUGAUAAGUCUCUGGUGAAAUCCCGCAGCUUAACUGUGGGAAUUGCUGGAGAUACUAUCAGGCUUGAGGUCGGGAGAGGUUAGAGGUACUCCCAGGGUAGGGGUGAAAUCCUAUAAUCCUGGGAGGACCACCUGUGGCGAAGGCGUCUAACUGGAACGAACCUGACGGUGAGUAACGAAAGCCAGGGGCGCGAACCGGAUUAGAUACCCGGGUAGUCCUGGCCGUAAACGAUGUGGACUUGGUGUUGGGAUGGCCCCGAGCUGCCCCAGUGCCGAAGGGAAGCUGUUAAGUCCACCGCCUGGGAAGUACGGUCGCAAGACUGAAACUUAA